rnacentral:misc_RNA from 1 species
GUCGCAGCAGCAGCAGCAGCAGCAAGCUCAGUCGCAGCGACCUCGCAGACAAGGGUCAACGGACGAGGUUAAAACGCUUUGGAUUGGUGACCUUCAGCCUUGGAUGGACGAGACCUACCUCAAUAAUUGUUUCGCUCACACCGGCGAGGUUUUCUCUGUUAAGGUUAUAUGCAAUAAGCAAACUGGUCAAUCUGAGGGCUACGGAUUUGUUGAGUUCUAUUCGCAUGCAACGGCCGAUAAAGUUUUGCAGAAUUAUAAUGGUGCUAUAAUGCCUAACACAGAGCUGCCUUUCCGUCUCAAUUGGGCAACUUUUAGUGCAAAUGAUAGGCGACCAGACACUGGUUCUGACCUAUCGAUAUUUGUUGGUGAUUUGGCUGCCGAUGUGACUGAUGCUAUGCUGCAAGAAACUUUUUCUAGUAGAUACACAUCUGUUAAAGGAGCAAAGGUGGUUAUUGAUUCAAAUUCAGGUCGUUCAAAAGGUUAUGGCUUUGUCAGGUUUGGUGAUGAAAAUGAAAGGACAAGGGCUAUGACUGAAAUGAAUGGGAUAUAUUGUUCAAGUAGACCCAUGCGCAUUGGUGUUGCAACACCAAAGAAGGCAUCUGGAUAUCAACAAGGUUAUUCUUCACAAGCUUUGGUACUGGCUGGUGGACAUGCAAAUGGCAUGGCCGUUCAGGGUUCACAAUCAGAUGGCGAGUCAAACAACACGACUAUAUUUGUUGGCGGCCUUGAUUCUGAUGUUAGUGAUGAAGAUCUCAAGCAACCUUUCUCUAAAUUUGGUGAUGUUGUAUCU